rnacentral:lncRNA from 1 species
AUCUGUUCAAGAGUGCAAGAGAGGAGGAAUAUAUGUUGUCAGGCAGUAUAGACAAGUGCAUUGUCUAAAUUGGUUGUGCAAUGAUCUCAGUCACUACAGUCACUCGGACGAGAAAACAUAUGUUACUACCUCAUUAAGAACAUCAUUAAUCAGCUAUUCAGUCUUGGCUAUUUGCUCAGCAGAACCCGUCAGCUCAACCCCUCCAGUUGGAGAAUUGAGGUCGGCUUCCAUAUCUCUGGUAACUUGAAUCCUUGCUCCAGAUUGAAGCUGAAGGUACUUAAUAGUCUCUCCAGAUUAGUUGAGGCAUGAGGGCCUCUUUAACUUUUAACAAUGAACACCCAUAUAAACCAUACCAAAAAAAUACAUGAAACAGUCUAAAAAACUAUGAAACAAGACCAACAAUAAAAUAUUAAAUGAAACUUCAGCAAACAGACUCUUUGUGUAAACAAAAAUAGCUUCACGACAUUAAACCAUAAUUCAAUUAACAAAACUACACAAGUGUUGCAUAGUGCUCCAGUAAAUGAGCAGCCUACUAAUUACUUGAACUUAACAGAAUUGAGUGCAUAGGACCAGCACUCGGAGAACUAAAAGUGCAAGCCUAUUAAUUUUUUCAAGGAAAAAACAAUGAGUAUUAGGAACCUCUUCAAACCAGCAGUAUCAAGGAACCUUCAUGAGACUAGAUAAUAUAUUAAAUUGCAGUUAGAUUCGAAUCAUGAAGAGAGAAUUACUCUCAAAACAUACCAUCUCAUAUUUAUCUCUGUAAUUGUCACCUCAGAGAUGAGAACCAUAAAUGUAUAGAGCUGUCCUUUCCCACCUUAAGCCUCAGCCACUUAAUAUUGCCUCAGCCACUUCUCUAGUUGUCUUGAUACCCACCUUAAGCCACCAUGAAUGAUGAACCAAUUAAUUCAGAUUUUUUUGUUAAUUAAUUAAUGGAUUAAUUGAAUAAAAAAUACUACAACUGAACACAAAAUGAACCAAAUCAAGUAAAAUGAAAAAUUUCUAGCACUAUGAUCUUAUAUGAGAGCAUCUUUUAACAAAAAACUCAAUGAUAUACACAAUCAAAUAAAUAAGGAGAUCAAAAUCAGUGGUACCUGGUUUGAAGAAGAUGGAGAGACCGAAAUCUGUGGCUUUCAACAGCGAGUCCUCAACUGUACUCAACAAUAAAAAAUUCUCAGGCUUCAAAUCCCGAUGCAUCACUCCCAUCUAAUGACAAUUAGUUAUGCACCAUCAUCACCAUCUGCCGGCACAGCACGGCGGCAGCGUGCUCGGAGUAAUGUCCUUUCUCGAUGUUCCGAUCAAAGAGCUCACCGCCGGCGCAAAGCUCCAUAACUUGGUUCACGGAAUGGUUCACGGAGCGGUGUUAGCCUUUCCUCGAUUGUUCCAACACUUGUUUGCAGUUGGAAUUGAAGCAAAGCUUCACCGAGAAAGAAGAGGACGCCAUGGAAGCUCUCAUAAACCCUGGAACCAAAACAAAUCUAGAGAGAUUAACUACUUUAUUAAGUAACCGACCAACAAUUUCUCAUAUGUGAUAGCAAUUUGAAAAAAAAUGGAAGCACGUAAACCCUAGGUUAGAGAGAAAGUCGAGGUAGCACGGUUCCCAUCAGCUGAAAAUACAUUAUUUUUAAUUUUAAGUUUUCAAGUCCCGCUUUUUACCUCCGUGUUUUCUUGUAUAGAUAACAUUUUAAAAAAAACGUUAUCUAGUUAAAACCAAAAAAAUGCCCUUUUAAAUAGAUAACAUUUUUGCAUAUAUAUCUACAACAUUUUUUUUUAAAACGUUGUAAAAAAAAACCACAACAUUUUUUUAAAAAACAUUAUGGUUUAAGUGUUGUCUAUUAGGUACUUAACCGUUAAAAGUUGACACUAACUACUCUUGAGCCUUGCCUUUGCCUUUGUCCCUAUUAGAACCUUCUGCUACAUCGGCAUUAACUGAAAUAUUUCAUUUAAGCAAGAGUGAGGAACGAGUUUGCCCAACAAGUUAAAAUAUACAAUAAAUGAUAUAUAUCAUGAAUAGAAGAGUCUAGCUUUUUUAGCACUUCAGCAAUAAUCAAAAGAUUUUGAAGUAGCUGAAUAAUAAUUCAAUCUUAAUAAUAAAACUUUCUCCCAUUUCAUACUGAAUAACAUAUCAGAGAUGAAAGAGUAAAAUUCUUUUAAAGGUUCAAUAAUAUUCAAUUGAAUAAUGAGAAUUAACAAUACUGCAACAAUAUUCAAUAAAGUGGGAUAUACCCAGAUUUCAUGCUGAGUGAUCAUAAAAGGAUCAUGAACUAAUAGAUGAAUCAUUUAGUUAUUAAAACUAAAUUACUACAAGAAUAUAAAUUAGUUAUAAAAACUAAACUAUACUCUUCUACAAGUAUCUGGAGCGUCCAACUCCUUUGUACCCUAUAUUAUGCAUAAUACUCAAUAAUAGCGCAUAGGUCGAUUUACGACAUUAAAAUUUGUUCAUCUCAGUCUUACAUCACGAGUCCGUACCACAACAAUAUGGUUUGGAUUACUUUCAAAGAAAUACUAUGAUUUUAAUAAAUAAUAACAAAACUAAUCUAGCCAAAACCAAUGGCAUAGAUCUUCCAAUAACAAUUCAGUUCAUAAUAAAUAGAACAUUUCAUGCUUUAACAAAUAUUAGUCUUNNNNNNNNNNNNNNNNNNNNNNNNNNNNNNNNNNNNNNNNNNNNNNNNNNNNNNNNNNNNNNNNNNNNNNNNNNNNNNNNNNNNNNNNNNNNNNNNNNNNCCUUGAGGUUAUUCCUCUCAAGGCCUCUGUCAUUUCUCCCGCUAAUUUAUUCACAUCUCCAUUCACUGUUGUCCUAGGUUGGGUGUUAAGUAAAGAGCAGGGAUAUCACAGGAAUGUUGAAAUGACUAACAUUUUACAACACCACUAAUAAUUAUACCCAACAAUGAAUGCACAUUGUAUACUAACCGUGAUUGCUUAACAGUUAACACUGCAAGUCAACAACACAAGGAACUCUGCCAAGGUCUCCUCAGCAAUAGAUAGGAGUCUGCCAAAAAAUGAAAAUAAUAAAGAUAAUAAUCAACUAUCCAUAUAGGAGUUUGCACCAUUGGAGAGGGGAGAGAAACAGAAAGAGCUCAUGAAAUUGGCGCAAAUAGCAUGAACAUACCUUCCUUAUCAAUAUCAGAUCUGUUCAAGAGUGCAAGAGAGGAGGAAUAUAUGUUGUCAGGCAGUAUAGACAAGUGCAUUGUCUAAAUUGGUUGUGCAAUGAUCUCAGUCACUACAGUCACUCGGACGAGAAAACAUAUGUUACUACCUCAUUAAGAACAUCAUUAAUCAGCUAUUCAGUCUUGGCUAUUUGCUCAGCAGAACCCGUCAGCUCAACCCCUCCAGUUGGAGAAUUGAGGUCGGCUUCCAUAUCUCUGGUAACUUGAAUCCUUGCUCCAGAUUGAAGCUGAAGGUACUUAAUAGUCUCUCCAGAUUAGUUGAGGCAUGAGGGCCUCUUUAACUUUUAACAAUGAACACCCAUAUAAACCAUACCAAAAAAAUACAUGAAACAGUCUAAAAAACUAUGAAACAAGACCAACAAUAAAAUAUUAAAUGAAACUUCAGCAAACAGACUCUUUGUGUAAACAAAAAUAGCUUCACGACAUUAAACCAUAAUUCAAUUAACAAAACUACACAAGUGUUGCAUAGUGCUCCAGUAAAUGAGCAGCCUACUAAUUACUUGAACUUAACAGAAUUGAGUGCAUAGGACCAGCACUCGGAGAACUAAAAGUGCAAGCCUAUUAAUUUUUUCAAGGAAAAAACAAUGAGUAUUAGGAACCUCUUCAAACCAGCAGUAUCAAGGAACCUUCAUGAGACUAGAUAAUAUAUUAAAUUGCAGUUAGAUUCGAAUCAUGAAGAGAGAAUUACUCUCAAAACAUACCAUCUCAUAUUUAUCUCUGUAAUUGUCACCUCAGAGAUGAGAACCAUAAAUGUAUAGAGCUGUCCUUUCCCACCUUAAGCCUCAGCCACUUAAUAUUGCCUCAGCCACUUCUCUAGUUG